AUUGAACGCUGGCGGCAUGCCUUACACAUGCAAGUCGAACGGCAGCACGGGAGCAAUCCUGGUGGCGAGUGGCGAACGGGUGAGUAAUACAUCGGAACGUGCCCAGUAGUGGGGGAUAGCCCGGCGAAAGCCGGAUUAGUACCGCAUACGACCUACGGGUGAAAGCGGGGGACCGCAAGGCCUCGCGCUAUUUGAGCGGCCGAUGUCAGAUUAGCUAGUUGGUGGGGUAAAAGCCUACCAAGGCGACGAUCUGUAGCUGGUCUGAGAGGACGACCAGCCACACUGGGACUGAGACACGGCCCAGACUCCUACGGGAGGCAGCAGUGGGGAAUGUUGGACAAUGGGCGCAAGCCUGAUCCAGCCAUGCCGCGUGCGGGAAGAAGGCCUUCGGGUUGUAAACCGCUUUUGUCAGGGAAGAAACGCUUCGAGAUAAUACCUUGGAGUAAUGACGGUACCUGAAGAAUAAGCACCGGCUAACUACGUGCCAGCCGCCGCGGUAAGAC
rnacentral:rRNA from 1 species